GACGAACGCUGGCGGCGUGCUUAACACGUGCAAGUCGAACGGAAAGGCCCUGCUUUUGUGGGGUGCUCGAGUGGCGAACGGGUGAGUAACACGUGAGUAACCUGCCCUUGACUUUGGGAUAACUUCAGGAAACUGGGGCUAAUACCGGAUAGGAGCUCCUGCUGCAUGGUGGGGGUUGGAAAGUUUCGGCGGUUGGGGAUGGACUCGCGGCUUAUCAGCUUGUUGGUGGGGUAGUGGCUUACCAAGGCUUUGACGGGUAGCCGGCCUGAGAGGGUGACCGGCCACAUUGGGACUGAGAUACGGCCCAGACUCCUACGGGAGGCAGCAGUGGGGAAUAUUGCACAAUGGGCGGAAGCCUGAUGCAGCAACGCCGCGUGCGGGAUGACGGCCUUCGGGUUGUAAACCGCUUUCGCCUGUGACGAAGCGUGAGUGACGGUAAUGGGUAAAGAAGCUCCGGCUAACUACGUG
rnacentral:rRNA from 1 species